rnacentral:rRNA from 1 species
GUGGGGAAUCUUCCGCAAUGGACGAAAGUCUGACGGAGCAACGCCGCGUGAAGGAAGAAGGUUUUCGGAUCGUAAACUUCUAUCCUUGGUGAAGAUAAUGACGGUAGCCAAGAAGGAAGCCCCGGCUAACUACGUGCCAGCAGCCGCGGUAAUACGUAGGGUGCAAGCGUUAAUCGGAAUUACUGGGCGUAAAGCGUGCGCAGGCGGUUUUGUAAGACAGAGGUGAAAUCCCCGGGCUCAACCUGGGAAUGGCGUUUGUGACGGCAAAGCUGGAGUGCGGCAGAGGGGGAUGGAAUUCCGCGUGUAGCAGUGAAAUGCGUAGAUAUGCGGAGGAACACCGAUGGCGAAGGCAAUCCCCUGGGCCUGCACUGACGCUCAUGCACGAAAGCGUGGGGAGCAAACAGGAUUAGAUACCCGAGUAGUCC